rnacentral:rRNA from 1 species
UACGAAGGGGGCUAGCGUUGCUCGGAAUCACUGGGCGUAAAGCGCACGUAGGCGGACUCUUAAGUCGGUGGUGAAAUCCUGGAGCUCAACUCCAGAACUGCCUUCGAUACUGAGAGUCUCGAGUCCGGGAGAGGUGAGUGGAACUGCGAGUGUAGAGGUGAAAUUCGUAGAUAUUCGCAAGAACACCAGUGGCGAAAGGCGGCUCACUGGUCCGGUUCUGACGCUGAGGCGCGGAAAGCGUGGGAGCAACAGGAUUAAGAAACCCUUGGU